GACGUAGGUGGCAAGCGUUGUCCGGAAUUAUUGGGCGUAAAGCGCGCGCAGGCGGUUUUUUAAGUCUGAUGUGAAAGCCCACGGCUCAACCGUGGAGGGUCAUUGGAAACUGGAGAACUUGAGUACAGAAGAGGAAAGCGGAAUUCCACGUGUAGCGGUGAAAUGCGUAGAGAUGUGGAGGAACACCAGUGGCGAAGGCGGCUUUCUGGUCUGUAACUGACGCUGAGGCGCGAAAGCGUGGGGAGCAAACAGG
rnacentral:rRNA from 1 species